AAUCAACGCUGGCGGCGUGCCUCAGACAUGCAAGUCGAACGCGAAAGUCCCCUUCGGGGGACAAGUAGAGUGGCGCACGGGUGAGUAACACGUAGGUAAUCUACCUUCGGAUGGGGAAUAACAACCGGAAACGGUUGCUAAUACCGCAUAAUGCAGCGGCACCUAAUGGUGACAGUUGUUAAAGCGGGGGAUCGAAAGACCCCGCGUCUGAAGAGGAGCCUGCGGCGGAUUAGCUAGUUGGAAGGUAAUGGCUUACCAAGGCGACGAUCCGUAGCCGGCCUGAGAGGGCGGUCGGCCACACUGACACUGACAUACGGGUCAGACUCCUACGGGAGGCAGCAGUCGGGAAUUUUGGGCAAUGGGCGAAAGCCUGACCCAGCAAACGCCGCGUGAAGGAUGAAAUCCCUCGGGAUGUAAACUUCGCAAGAACGGGAAGAAUAAGUAGGGGACAACACCUCCUAUGAUGACGGUACCGUUUGAAGCUCCGGCUAACUCCGUGCCAGCCGCCGCUUAAC
rnacentral:rRNA from 1 species